rnacentral:rRNA from 1 species
GGUAUUUUGACUAUACGAAGGUAUUGAAAUAAGAUUUUAAAUGAGUGCUAAGAGAAUGAUUAAACAAUUAAAAGCUUUCUUUAAUUGAAUAAUUGAAUUUAAUUUUUUAGUGCAAAAGCAAAAAUAAAAAUUAGGGACAAGAAGACCCUAUGAAUUUUUUUAUUAAAUUUUAUAAAACUUUAUAUAAAAUUUAAUUUAAUUGGGGUGAUGGAAAAAGAAUAAAUAUCUUUUUUUUAAAAAAAAUUGGUUCCGUUUUUAGCGAUUAAAUGAAAAAAAUACUCUAGGGAUAACAGCGUAAUAAUUUUGGAUAGUUCAUAUAGAUAAAAUAGUUUGCGACCUCGAUGUUGGAUUAGGAUUCUUUUUUGGUGAAGAAGU